rnacentral:rRNA from 1 species
AUUGAACGCUGGCGGCAGGCCUAACACCUGCAAGUCGAGCGGAGCGGCGGACGGGUGAGUAAUGCCUAGGAAUCUGCCUGGUAGAGGGAGAUAACGUCCGGAAACGGGCGCUAAUAACGCAUAAUAACCGCUGAGCCUCGGUGGGAUUAGCUAGUUGGUGGGGUAAAGGCCUACCCAGGCGACGAUCCGGAACUGGUCUGAGAGGAUGAUCAGUCACACUGGAACUGAGACACGGUCCAGACUCCUACGGGAGGCAGCAGUGGGGAAUAUUGCACAAUGGGCGCAAGCCUGAUGGAGCCAUGCCGCGUGUGUGAAGAAGGCCUUCGGGUUGUAAAGCACUGUCAGCGGGGAGGCGUUACCCGCAGAAGAAGCACCGGCUAACUCCGUGCCAGCAGCCGCGGUAAUUC